AGGAAUCCACUGGAACUGUCCAUAUCACUCAACUGCUACCUUCCCGGAGAGACCUGGACAUAAUCAAAAAUGCAAGAAAACGGUUGAAAAGAAGCACUGUAUCUGUCAGCCUUAAAAUAAGAUUACUACCGAUAGUAAAGGUAUGAAGUAAACCGUUGAAAACAGCUAUAAAGCUACUUUGAUCCAGCUUGAGAACUAGAUUACCGACGGCAGUAAAGG
rnacentral:lncRNA from 1 species